ensembl:lncRNA
AGGGGGGAAAAGCAGAACUUAUUGUGUGGCAUGGUACAUUUCAGCUAGUGUGGGUCUUUAGUGUGUGUAGAGUUUCUCCUUUUGUAAGCUGUGAAAAGCGUCGCUGAAAGCUGCCUUUGUUGUUGUGGGAAAUCAAAGCUGGCCUUGUCUCUCAGCGGGGUGUGCGUACAUGUGUGCGUGCGUAUGGUGUGUGUGUGUGUGUGUGUGUGUGUGUGUGUGUGUGUGGAGGGGGGUUGGAAAGAGGAAAGGCCUUGGGGUGUUAACCAGCGCCUCUGUGUACGUCGCAUGCAGAUGAACUUCAGUUCUUCUACCCCCCUUUGGGAUCUUCUAACUCUCUUUCCAGAUGUUUUUAAAAGUCCAGAUGUUCUGACAGGCGCACCUGAAACAUAUCACACAUGCUUUAAGUGGCUUCAUUAGUCCUUCCUUAAUGAACACCUGUCUAACUGCUAUGACAGUAUCCAAGAAGAGAAACAUGAACUUCUCUCGCUCGCUCUCUCUGUCUCUCUUUCUGUUUGUCUCUCUCUCUCUGUCACCCUCUCUCUCUCUUUCUGUCUAUCUCUCUCUGUCGCCCUGUCUGUCUGUCUCUCUCUCUCUGUCACCCUCUCUCGCUGUCUCUCUUUCUCUGUCUGUGUGUGUGUGUGCCUGUGUGUGUGUGUGCCUGUGUGUGUGUGUGCCUGUGUGUGUGUGUGCCUGUGUGUGUGUGUGCCUGUGUGUGUGUGUGCCUGUGUGUGUGUGUGCGCCUGUGUGUGUGCGCCUGUGUGUGUGCGCCUGUGUGUGUGCGCCUGUGUGUGUGCGCCUGUGUGUGUGCGCCUGUGUGUGUGCGCCUGUGUGUGCGCCUGUGUGUGCGCCUGUGUGUGCGCCUGUGUGUGUGCGCCUGUGUGUGUGCGCCUGUGUGUGCGCCUGUGUGUCUGCGCCUGUGUGUGCGCCUGUGUGUGCGCCUGUGUGUGCGCCUGUGUGUGUGCGCCUGUGUGUGUGCGCCUGUGUGUGUGCGUCUGUGUGUGUGCGUCUGUGUGUGUGUGCCUGUGUGUGUGUGCCUGUGAUUAACCUGAUUAAUUUUGUUCCUCUUGUUCUUUUUCUUUUUUUACUGAACCGAUGCUGACACACUUUUCAGAGCGUCUUCCCCAGAGGUUGGUUCAGUUUCAGUUGCGUGUCUGGUUUAUUCGCUCACAGAAGAAUAACGUUCAGGAUUUCAGAUCCGUUUCAUUCAGUACGGGAUUAGACCUGGUCACGUGUGGUGUGUUUUUUUUUUUGUUUUUUUUUGUUUUGUUUUUUUUGCUUUGUCUUUCCUCUUUUGUGUAGUUUUCUUCUUGUUGUGACUGGUAUGGAAGAGUACAGUAUGAUAAGGAGUAAGGAAGGUGUCCUACUUCUUCUGCAGGAGUGUCCAAGAUAAGCGAAAGCCGAAUUUCAGGCGGUAACGUGAUACUUCAGACCUUCGCUCUUCCCUCGCUCAGCAUAUGGAUAAAAAUAGCAGUGCCGUUAAAAUUGUGACAUCGCCGUGGAAACGAGCCGAUGAGGUUUUUACGAGGUUGGAGUGAACCGGUGCGGAGUCUGUUAACUCGACAUUUUCACUUGCGCUGCUGUUUGCUACGUCGGAACAGAAUUUUUCGCGCUUUGUGGGAAUUUUGAGCUUUGAAGAAGAAAAUCUUCCACAAGACGACCUAAACACGCGAUAUUAAUUAUUACUGAUGGCCUACUUUUUAUAUUCUCAAACUGCCUUUGCUACUAUAACCCCUCCCCCAUCAUCAUCAUCUUCAUCAUCAUCAUCGUCAUCAUCUCCACUCUUUCUAACUCUUUAAAAUGUGUUCAUCAGAAGCAUUUAUAAGAAACAUCCACAG